UCCCUAUCCGUCGCGGGCGCAGGAAAUUUGAGAAGAGCUGUCCUUAGUACGAGAGGACCGGGAUGGACAUACCGCUGGUGUACCAGUUGUCUUGCCAAAGGCAUCGCUGGGUAGCUAUGUAUGGACGGGAUAAAUGCUGAAAGCAUCUAAGCAUGAAGCCCCCUUCAAGAUGAGAUUUCCCAUUACGCAAGUAAGUAAGAUCCCUCAAAGAUGAUGAGGUGGAUAGGUCUGGGGUGGAAGCACGGCGACGUGUGCAGCUGACAGAUACUAAUCGAUCGAGGACUUAACCUAU
rnacentral:rRNA from 1 species